rnacentral:rRNA from 1 species
UACGUAGGGGGCAAGCGUUGUCCGGAAUCAUUGGGCGUAAAGAGCGUGUAGGCGGCCCGAUAAGUCCGCUGUGAAAGUCCAGGGCUCAACCCUGGAAUGCCGGUGGAAACUGUCGGGCUAGAGUUCGGAAGAGGUGAGUGGAAUUCACGGUGUAGCAGUGAAAUGCGUAGAUAUCGUGAGGAACACCAGAGGCGAAGGCGGUUACCUGGACAGUUACUGACGCUCAGGCACGAAAGCGUGGGGAGCAAAAGGG